AGUGGCUAACGGGUGAGUAAUACAUCGGAACAUGUCCUGUAGUGGAGGAUAGCCCGGCGAAAGCCGGAUUAAUACCGCAUACGAUCCACGGAUGAAAGCGGGGGCCCUUCGGGCCUCGCGCUAUAGGGUUGGCCGAUGGCUGAUUAGCUAGUUGGUGGGGUAAAGGCCCACCAAGGCGACGAUCAGUAGCUGGUCUGAGAGGACGACCAGCCACACUGGGUCUGAGACACGGCCCAGACUCCUACGGGAGGCAGCAGUGGGAAAUUUUGGACAAUGGGCGAAAGCCUGAUCCAGCAAUGCCGCGUGUGUGAAGAAGGCCUUCGGGUUGUAAAGCACUUUUGUCCGGAAAGAAAUCCUGAGGGCUAAUAUCCUUCGGGGAUGACGGUACCGGAAGAAUAAGCACCGGCUAACUACGUGCCAGCAGCCGCGGUAAUACGUAGGGUGCGAGCGUUAGUCGGAAUUACUGGGCGUAAAGCGUGCGCAGGCGGUUUGUUAAGACCGAUGUGAAAUCCCCGGGCUCAACCUGGGAACUGCAUUGGUGACUGACAGGCUAGAGUAUGGCAGAGGGUGGUAGAAUUCCACGUGUAGCAGUGAAAUGCGUAGAGAUGUGGAGGAAUACCGAUGGCGAAGGCAGCCCCCUGGGCCAAUACUGACGCUCAUGCACGAAAGCGUGGGGAGCAAACAGGAUUAGAUACCCUGGUAGUCCACGCCCUAAACGAUGUCAACUAGUUGUUGGGGAUUCAUUUCCUUAGUAACGUAGCUAACGCGUGAAGUUAACCGCCUGGGGAGUACGGUCGCAAGAUUAAAACUCAAAGGAAUUGAAGGGGACCCGCUCAAGGGGUGGCUGAUGUGGAUUAAUUCGAUGCAACGCGAAGAUCCUUACCUACCCUUGACAUGGUCGGAAUCCUAAAGAGAUUUGGGAGUGCUCGAAAGAGAACCGAUACACAGGUGCUGCAUGGCUGUCGUCAGCUCGUGUCGUGAGAUGUUGGGUUAAGUCCCGCAACGAGCGCAACCCUUGUCCUUAGUUGCUACGCAAGAGCACUCUAGGGAGACUGCCGGUGACAAACCGGAGGAAGGUGGGGAUGACGUCAAGUCCUCAUGGCCCUUAUGGGUAGGGCUUCACA
rnacentral:rRNA from 1 species